rnacentral:lncRNA from 1 species
GCACACCACAGACCCCCACCCCUAAAAUGAAGCCUUCCUUUCACUCAAUACACAGUUUUUACACGCUAGAAAGACGAAGAAGAUAAAAAGAGAUACUGAAUUUCAUAAUUAGUUGAUUUCCUUCUGAAAAGUCCAAGAAAAAUGCUUAAAAUUGUUUUAAUUGGCUCUGGUUAUUUUUUUUGGCUCUCUGAAUCUUCUGUUAAUCGAGAAUUUCCGGAAAACUUCUAAACUUGUGCAUCUGGUUAGCGAAACGGCUUAAGUUUUGGUUUGGAGUCAGUUUUUUGAAGUCCUUCUACUGCUCCAUUGGUUUUUAGGUUUGUUCACCGUUUGAUUGGUCAAAUUUGGGCUGCUUACUGCUGACCUCUCAUUUCUAUUAUUUUUUCUUCCCAAGUAUUUCUCUAUCCAUGAGCAACAAGUAAAUGUUGACUAUGUGACUCAAGUGGAAAUUUGAUGAAAUGCAAGUUAUAUUUAACUUAGUUUUCUUUCUAGUUCUCCUACUGUUUUUAAUGCUCUAUAGUAGAUUUCUAAUUAUAAAUGUCAAUUAGGUUUUCCCUCUCAUUACUUGUGUACUUUGAAUCCAUGUGUGAGAGUGAGAUAUUCUGAAUAUAUGUUUGAGAGUAGGAGUAAAUCUGAGUUUGUAAUGACAAAUGAACUAUGGACUUAAGCUAUUCAUUUUUAUUUUUGAUUUCAUGUUCUGGGUCACCGAUCUCUAUUUAGUUUUGCUGAAGAUCAGUGAGGUUUUAGUUUUGAUGUUUAUCUAAAUUCAUUAAGAUGC